GACGAACGCUGGCGGCGUGCCUAAUACAUGCAAGUUGAGCGAUGAAGAUUGGUGCUUGCACCAAUUUGAAGAGCAGCGAACGGGUGAGUAACGCGUGGGUAAUCUGCCUUUGAGCGGGGGACAACAUUUGGAAACGAAUGCUAAUACCGCAUAAUAACUUUAAACAUAAGUUUUAAGUUUGAAAGAUGCAAUUGCAUCACUCAAAGAUGAUCCCGCGUUGUAUUAGCUAGUUGGUGAGGUAAAGGCUCACCAAGGCGAUGAUACAUAGCCGACCUGAGAGGGUGAUCGGCCACAUUGGGAAUGAGACAAGGCCCAAACUCCUAAGGGAGGCAGCAGGAGGGAAUCUUCGGAAAUGGACGAAAGUCUGACCGCGCAACGCCGCGGGAGUGAAGAAGGUUUUCGGAUCGUAAAACUCUGUUGGUAGAGAAGAACGUUGGUGAGAGUGGAAAGCUCAUCAAGUGACGGUAACUACCCAGAAAGGGACGGCUAACUACGUG
rnacentral:rRNA from 1 species